AUACGUAGGUGACAAGCGUUAUCCGGAUUUACUGGGCGUAAAGGGCGUGUAGGCGGUCUUGCAAGUCAGAAGUGAAAUUCCUGAGCUCAACUCGGCGCUGCUUCUGAAACUGCCGGACUUGAGUGCUGGAGGGGAUAGCGGAAUUCCUAGGGGAGCGGUAAAAUGCGCAGAUAUUAGGAAGAACACCGGUGGCGAAGGGGGCUAUCUGGACAGUAACUGACGCUGAGGCGCGAAAGCGUGGGGAGCAAACAGGAUUAGAUACCCUGUUAGUCCACGCCGUAAACGAUGAAUACUAGGUGUAGGGGGUAUCGACUCCCUCUGUGCCGCAGUUAACACAAUAAGUAUUCCGCCUGUGGAGUACGGCCGCAAGGUUGAAACUCAAAUGAAUUGGCGGGG
rnacentral:rRNA from 1 species